CACAGAUCUCCAAACCCUCGCACGCCAGCCACGCCAGGUUAAUAGCUGCCGCAACCCACAAGAUGGACGCCAGGACGCCCCGGCACCAAAGGCUGCUCCGCACCCCGCGCGGCCCACGACGCCCCAUCACCCCGCCACCACCCCGGCACGCCCGGCCAAAACCCUAUCCGCUACGUCCCCGCCGCCGCCCGAUCUCCCCCGCUCCGCCGCCGCCGCCGCCGCCGCCGCCAUGGAGGACGACGCCAUCACCACGCUCAUGGACAUCGACGACUCCCCCGCAGCGCUGCCGGCGCCGGCUUCCUCGACGACGACGACGAGGGGGACCUCCUCCACUCCCACCGCAUGGGCGGCCGCGGGAACGAGGCGCGGGGCCCCUCCCCUUCGCCGGCUUCUUCAACACCUUCGACGGCGCCGACUUCGACGACUCCGAUCUGGCCUGAUCGAGGCGUCUUCCGGUACUAGUAAUGAAGCUGGGAGGUCGUUCUGUCGAUAUGGUGCUGGUGGUCUAUCUAGUUAGGUUAUUAUGGGUGAGGUGAAACUAUUCCGAGGCAUCUGGAGACCUUUCGGUGAUCAAUCUAAGCAUCGUACUGCUGCGCUGCCCUUGGAUCUCGUGUUGUUUGGUUAAUAUAUGCAAGUGCCUUAAAUUA